CCCAACUCUGGGAACCUUCUCUCCCGGAGGCUUCCUGAGGCCUGUGAAGCUGCACUUGUGCAGACUUGCUUUACCAUCUUCAGAUGGGGCUGUUGUCAGCCGAUAAAUAACCCAUUACUCAGUGGGUUAGGGUGGAAAGGGACUUUCAUUACUCAAAAUGUGGCAACUGGCCACCAAAUGACACACCCAGACAGAAGGCUCCAGGGAGCAGAGCUCCUCUAAAAUGUCACCAUCUGGAUCCAUGUGAGGGCGAGGCUGACAAGUCAAAAGGCAGAGGACAAUGGAGGAAAGGAACACGAGAUUCCGUGUCAGCAGGUCUGGGCUGAGGUGCCUGCCCACCACUUACUGCAUGGCCUUGACAGUGGUACAACCUCUCUCAGCUUCACUUUCCUCAUCUGAAAAGUGCAGGUCAUAAUGCCAGCCCCGGGGUCACUAACAGAACUGAUAUAUGGCUGCAAUGAGAUGAGCUGUGCCUUGGAGUCAUAACCUCUGUGUGAACCGUAGCUGCCCUGCUCAGUUUCAGGCAGGAUUGGCUGGAGGGCAAUGUGCCUCACAGGAAAGAAUGCCGGACUCACAGCUCUGCCAGGAACCAGCUCUGGGCCCUCAGCUGCCCCGUAGAUGCUUCCAUUUUCUGAUCCGUAAGUCAAAAUAAACAUGUCUAACCCCAC
ensembl:lncRNA